GAUGAACGCUGGCGGCGUGCCUAAUACAUGCAAGUAGAACGCUUAAGCUUGGUGCUUGCCCCGAGCGGAUGAGUUGCGAACGGGUGAGUAACGCGUAGGUAACCUGCCUGGUAGCGGGGGAUAACUAUUGGAAACGAUAUCUAAUACCGCAUAACAGUAGAUAUUGCAUGAUAUCUGCUUGAAAGGUGCAAAUGCAUCACUACCAGAUGGACCUGAGUUGUAUUAGGUAGUUGGUGAGGUAACGGCCCACCAAGGCGAAGAUACAUAGCCUGCCUGAGAGGGUGAUCGGCCCCAACGGGACUGGGAAACGGCCCAGAAUCCUUAGGGGGGCAGCAGUAGGGGAACUUUGGAAAUGGGGGGAAACCUUACCGAGGAAAGGCGGGGGAGUGAAGAAGGUUUUCGGAUCGUAAAGCUCUGUUGUAAGAGAAGAACGAGUGUGAGGGUGGAAAGUUCACGCUGUGACGGUACCUAAACAGAAAGCGACGGCUAACUACGUG
rnacentral:rRNA from 1 species